ensembl:lncRNA
UUCUGGGUGAGUUGCACCAUCAGGGCCAGCUCCGGUGUGAUGCUCUGCAGGGACUGGCGGUGCUGAAGGCGGAGGUUUGUUUGCCUUCCCACAGAUCCUGCACAUUAGCAAAUAAAGCAGAGCUUGCACAGUGGCUGGUGAGACUAAACUAAAGCAUUGGAUGGGCACCUGGUCAGGGACUGCUGGCUGUUCCCACUCAAGUUAGGUUACGAUCAAGUGCAAAGAAACCAGUGUCAGCGGGACCUCAGAUUUUCUUCCUCUGGGGAAGGAUCAGCUUCACCACUUCCAUGUUUGCCCACCUUGUUCUUCAAGCUGCUAUCCUGCAGCAUAUCCCAACCCAGUGCUGGAGUUCUACAGGAAGCCUUUUCCCAGCCAGCCUACCUCUCUCCCUCACUGACCUUGAGGUCUCCAACUUCUUACCCUGUCCACCACUGCCAUACAGAGGACUGUGAUCUCUUCCUCUGCCCAGCAGCCUUUCUUUGUAUAUGAAGCUUGUCACGUUUCUUGUCUCUUCUGUGCAAUGUUCAGCCUGGUCAAUCGUGCUGGAAUUCAAUGCUGACAAAGUCCAGACAAGCCCAAGUAAAUGUUAGCACUCCAAACUCUUUAUUGUUUUUUUUUUCUCUUUAAACCUGAUUCCCU